UACGUAGGGUGCAAGCGUUGCCCGGAUUUACUGGGCGUAAAGAGCGCGCAGGCGGUCGUUCAAGUCGCGUGUGAAAGCCCCCGGCUCAACUGGGGAGGGUCACGCGAUACUGAUCGACUCGAAGGCAGGAGAGGGUAGUGGAAUUCCCGGUGUAGUGGUGAAAUGCGUAGAUAUCAGGAGGAACACCAGCGGUGUAGACGGCUUUCUGGACCAUUGCUGACGCUGAGACACGAAAGCGUGGGUAGCAAACAGG
rnacentral:rRNA from 1 species